rfam:Spinacia oleracea cultivar SynViroflay scaffold73477.con0006.1, whole genome shotgun sequence.
GUCAUUGUGGUAUAGUGGUAAGUAUUCCUGCCUGUCACGCGGGUGACCCGGGUUCCAUCCCCGUCAACGGCU